rnacentral:rRNA from 1 species
UACGUAGGGUGCGAGCGUUAAUCGGAAUUACUGGGCGUAAAGCGUGCGCAGGCGGUUUUGUAAGCCAGAUGUGAAAUCCCCGGGCUUAACCUGGGAAUGGCAUUUGGGACUGCAAGGCUCGAGUGCGGCAGAGGAGACUGGAAUUCCUGGUGUAGCAGUGAAAUGCGUAGAUAUCAGGAGGAACACCGAUGGCGAAGGCAGGUCUCUGGGCUGACACUGACGCUCAUGCACGAAAGCGUGGGGAGCAAACAGGAUACGAAACCGGGUAGU